rnacentral:rRNA from 1 species
UACGGAGGGGGCUAGCGUUGUUCGGAAUUACUGGGCGUAAAGCGCGUGUAGGCGGUCUCGCAAGUCGGAUGUGAAAGCCCAGGGCUCAACCCUGGAAGUGCACUCGAUACUGCGAGGCUAGAGUCCCGGAGAGGAUGGUGGAACUCUCGGUGUAGAGGUGAAAUUCGUAGAUAUCGAGAAGAACACCGGUGGCGAAGGCGGCCAUCUGGACGGUGACUGACGCUGAGACGCGAAAGCGUGGGGAGCAAACAGG